rnacentral:rRNA from 1 species
UACGUAGGGGGCUAGCGUUGUCCGGAAUCAUUGGGCGUAAAGAGCGUGUAGGCGGCUCGGUAAGUCCGCUGUGAAAGUCCAGGGCUCAACCCUGGAAUGCCAGUGGAACCUGUCGAGCUAGAGUCCGGAAGAGGCGAGUGGAAUUCCUGGUGUAGCGGUGAAAUGCGCAGAUAUCAGGAGGAACACCGAUGGCGAAGGCAGCUCGCUGGGACGGUACUGACGCUGAGGCGCGAAAGCGUGGGGAGCGAACAGG